GGAUGUGAUCAUACCAGUACUAAACCACUGGAUCCCAUCAGAACUCCGAAGUUAAGCGUGCUUGGGUGAGACUAGUACUAGGAUGGGUGACCUCCUGCGAAGUCCUCGUGUUGCAUUCC
rfam:Triticum aestivum genome assembly, contig: Triticum_aestivum_CS42_TGACv1_scaffold_019500_1AS